GGAUGAAGUCCCUCGGGACGUAAACUGCUUUUAUCGGGGACGACAUUUCGACGGUACCCGAAGAAUAAGGGGCUCCUAACUCUGUGCCAGCAGGAGCGGUAAUACAGAGGCCCCAAGCGUUACCCGGAAUCACUGGGCGUAAAGGGUGCGUAGGCGGCCAUGUUAGUCGCGGGUGAAAUCCUCUGGCUCAACCGGAGGACUGGCCCGCGAAACGGCAUGGCUCGAGGAUGUACGAGGUAUGCGGAACUCACGGUGUAGGGGUAAAAUCCGUUGAUAUCGUGGGGAACACCAUAGGCGAAAGCGGCAUACUGGGACAUUCCUGACGCUGAAGCACGAAAGCGUGGGUUUCGAACGGGAUUAGAUACCCGCGUAGUCC
rnacentral:rRNA from 1 species